AAAUCAGGGCUCAAAGUGUGGGGUCUGGGGUGCAGGCUGCAGAGGCUGACAGGAGCCACGUGUGUGUGUGUGUGUGUGUAUUCUCUCGUGGUGGGCACAUCUGUCUUCAGCAACCCUGGCCUCCGGGAGCUCCCUCCUGAGCUGGGGCAGCUGGGAAACCUCUGGCAGCUGGACACUGAAGACCUGACCAUCAGCAAUGUGCCUGCAGAAAUCCGAAAAGAAGGCCCCAAAGCAAUGCUGUCUUACCUGCGUGCUCAGCUGCGGAAAGCGGAGAAGUGCAAGCUGAUGAAGAUGAUCAUCGUGGGUCCCCCGCGCCAGGGCAAGUCCACCCUCCUGGAGAUCUUACAGACGGGGAGGGCCCCCCAGGUGGUGCACGGAGAGGCUACCAUCAGGACCACCAAGUGGGAGCUCCAGAGGCCGGCUGGCUCGAGAGCCAAGUAGGUUGAGUCCGUGGAGUUCAACGUCUGGGACAUCGGGGGACCGGCCAGCAUGGCCACUGUCAACCAGUGCUUCUUCACGGACAAGGCCCUGUACGUGGUGGUCUGGAACCUGGCGCUGGGGGAGGAGGCCGUGGCCAACCUCCAGUUC
rnacentral:sRNA from 1 species